rnacentral:rRNA from 1 species
GAUGAACGCUGGCGGCGUGCCUAAUACAUGCAAGUCGAGCGAACAGACGAGGAGCUUGCUCCUCUGACGUUAGCGGCGGACGGGUGAGUAACACGUGUAUAACCUACCUAUAAGACUGGGAUAACUUCGGGAAACCGGAGCUAAUACCGGAUAAUAUAUUGAACCUCAUGGUUCAAUAGUGAAAGACGGUUUUGCUGUCACUUAUAGAUGUAUCCGCGCCGCAUUAGCUAGUUGGUAAGGUAACGGCUUACCAAGGCAACGAUGCGUAGCCGACCUGAGAGGGUGAUCGGCCACACUGGAACUGAGACACGGUCCAGACUCCUACGGGAGGCAGCAGUAGGGAAUCUUCCGCAAUGGGCGAAAGCCUGACGGAGCAACGCCGCGUGAGUGAUGAAGGUCUUCGGAUCGUAAAACUCUGUUAUUAGGGAAGAACAAAUGUGUAAGUAACUAUGCACGUAUUGACGGUACCUAAUCAGAAAGCAACGGCUAACUACGUG